CUCUCCCUAUCUCGAUGGUCCCUUCGAUAUCGAGAUGUGGAGAGGCGACUGUAGUUCGAGUCAGUCCGGCUUGAUGUGCGGAUCAGUUUCCGAAAAGUGAAAGUUGUUUUCGUGAAUUGCGGUGGCGGAUUUCAAGUGCACAUCUCGGUGCAGGUGCAGAAAAUAGUUGGAAGUGGCAGAUAUCACGCCGAUCAGGAUCCACAUCCCACGCAGGCCAAAAGAUCAUUGAAUCACAGCGGCCGACAGGAAGCGCAAAACGGAUCUCCCAGGCAGUUGACGUUGAUUAGCGAGGAAGCUUUAGCGAACCGGCCUGUGGAAGACCGACGCCGAGAGAGACCGACCAACAGCUCGAAGGAGAAGAGACAUCGGAAGGCCCCUUUAAGGGGUUUUUGUGUUCCAUUUCUGGAACCACUUUUGCCAUUGUUGGGCAGUCGCUCAGGCCGUCCGAGUACUGGGUCAUCUUUCUUCGGAUCCGAGGUGAGGAGAACUCCAUCAAGGCAAGACCGUGUGAUAUUGUGCGCUCAGUUAACGACGGUGGUUGGAUACGGCCCGAAACGCUUCAAGACGAACUCGGCCAGCGGCCGAAGGCAGCGCAGUCCCAAGAGACGGUCACCGUGAAUCCCAUUCAUGCUGGGCCGCCCCCCGCCGGUUGAGGGCAAGUUCUUCAGCAUCCAUCAGUCAAGGAAGGAUGAGCUGGCAGGAUGGUGCAUCAGUCGGGAGCGCGCGGUCGGUGUUAGUGCAGAGAAGCGGUGCCGUGAGUACCAGCGCCUAGAUUAAGCCAAGUUACGAUGAUUGGGACGGAGGUAUUAUGUUAAUCUAGAUAUAAGACAAGC